AUUGGUUAAUGACAUGUACCUGUCAUGGGGACUGACGUCAUAGAAAGAUCGAGAGCGAGAGCCUUAUAUAAAAGCUCGAACAAAACACCUGAGCUCAUUAAGGGAAGAUAGAGGUCCAUCUGCACAUUGCACAUAUCAGCGUAGAGUGUAUUAAGGUUCAUAAGUCAUGUCUGGUAACAAGAAGGACACGGUGGAUUUCCAUCAUUACACGGACAAGGAAAGCGUCAAAAAAAUUCAGAAAAGUGGUGUCAUUCUUCAAAGUGAUGAAUCGGGCGGCGGAGACGAUGCAGCAUUUGGACCAGGAGCAUACGGGACAACGUUGACGCCUGACAGCGGGAAAAAAGCGCUUGCUAAAAAUAACUACGAUGAUGCCGGAGGCCUAGCUCAG